CAAUAGCGUAUAUUAAAGUUGUUGCAGUUAGAACGCUCGUAGUCGGAUUUCGGGGCGGGGCGACCGGUCUGCCGAUGGGUAUGCACUGGUCGGCGCGUCCUUCCUUCCGGAGACCGUUCCUACUCUUAACUGAGCGGGGGCGGGAGACGGAUCGUUUACUUUGAAAAAAUCAGAGUGUUUCAAGCAGGCAGCUCGCUCUUGCAUGGAUUAGCAUGGGAUAAUGAAAUAGGACUUUGGUGCUAUUUUGUUGGUUUCGAACACCGAAGUAAUGAUUAAAAGGGACAGUCAGGGGCACUCGUAUUCCGCCGAGAGAGGUGAAAUUCUCAGACCAGCGGAAGACGAACCACUGCGAAAGCAUUUGCCAGGGAUGUUUUCACUNA
rnacentral:rRNA from 1 species